UUACAGAAUCAUCACUGGAGCUAUCCCAUGGGACCCAGUGCUGCGUGUGUCCUGGAAACCACCUGAGGGAGGUCACAGCCCUUAUGCACCUACUGCUCACUCAGCCCCAUAAUGACUGUUCUUAACCCAUCUAUGGAUUGUGAAGUUUAUCUAGUUGUUUAUAACUUUUUUUUUAGCGAAAUAGAAUAGAAAACAUCAAAGUGCAUACGUGUAGCAAAGAUGGAGUUUCACUCUCGUUGCCCAGGCUGGAGUGCAGUGGCAUGAUCUUGGCUGACCGCAACCUCUACCUCCCGGGUUCAAGUGAUUCUCCUGCCUCAGCCUCCCG
rnacentral:lncRNA from 10 species